rnacentral:rRNA from 1 species
CCUACGGGAGGCAGCAGUCGAGAAUUUUUCACAAUGGGCGCAAGCCUGAUGGAGCGACGCCGCGUGGGGGAUGAAUGGCUUCGGCCCGUAAACCCCUGUCAUCUGCGAGCAAUCCCGCCGGCUUAACACGUUGGCGGUUGAUAGUAGUGGAAGAGGAAGGGACGGCUAACUCUGUGCCAGCAGCCGCGGUAAUACAGAGGUCCCAAGCGUUGUUCGGAUUUACUGGGCGUAAAGGGUGCGUAGGUGGCUGAAAAAGUCUGAUGUGAAAUCUUGGAGCUCAACUCCGAAACUGCAUUGGAUACUAUUUGGCUUGAGGAAUGGAGAGGGGAUUGGAAUUCUCGGUGUAGCAGUGAAAUGCGUAGAUAUCGAGAGGAACACCAGUGGCAAAAGCGAAUCUCUGGACAUUACCUGACACUGAGGCACGAAAGCCAAGGGAGCAAACGGGAUUAGAUACCCUAGUAGUC